rnacentral:rRNA from 1 species
CUGGGAUAAGCUUGGGAAACUGGGUCUAAUACCGGAUAGGAGCCAUCUUUAGUGUGGUGGUUGGAAAGUUUUUUCGGUGUAGGAUGAGCUCGCGGCCUAUCAGCUUGUUGGUGGGGUAAUGGCCUACCAAGGCGGCGACGGGUAGCCGGCCUGAGAGGGUGUACGGCCACAUUGGGACUGAGAUACGGCCCAG